UGAGGGAGGCCGGAGUUCUGUGGGCUGGGUCGCUCCUCCUUGGGAAGCGGUUUGCAGCCCUUUCCGCCCGGGGCGUCUGCAGCUCGGCGCGCACGCCGGGGCGGGUCACUGCAGCACGCCGCGAGCUGGGCGGGCAGGUGGCGGCGGUGGCGCCUGUGCUGUCAGGCAGGCUGUCGGGGAGAUGGGCGACCCGGGGCCAGAGGAAGGACCAUCAUGACCUGUUCUUGAAUACAGUGAUCUGGUCUGUGGUGACAGCAAGGAGCCUAAUGCCUGUCGUAGUGACGUAAAUUUUGUUCCCGAAAAUGCCAAAACAAUAGAGUGAUUUUUUGCAUUUAUCAAAUGUGAAGAAGAUGAAAACAGACACAGAAAGUAACAAUAAGAACAAAAACCAUUGUCGAUUGUCUGCGUCGGUGGAAUCAAAUUACAAACAUGUUGAACAACCAAUCAUUGAACAAAAACCUUCGUGUUCAUCAAAAGAAGAAAUAGAUACUCUUGUGCUUCCAGAUUGUUGGAAUGAAAAACAAGCAUCUAUGUUCGCAGAGCAGUACAAAUGGCUCGGAAUAAAAGAAGGUAAAUUAGGAUGUAGGGAUUGUUCCACAGUUCGGCAUUUGGGAUCAAGGGCAGAAAAGCAUGUUCACGUGUCCAAGGAGUGGGCUGCAUAUUUAGUAACCCCAAAUGGCAGUAGUUAGACUACCAGACAAGCUUCUCGGAAAAAAAUGAGGGAGCACAAUGUUUCUAAAGUCCAUGGUUAAAUUCAGGAUUUGUUAAAGGAAUCAGUUAAUGACUCAAUUUCUAAUUUAGUACAUAAACAAAGUAAUAGAAGUAUUGAUGCUAUUGUAAAGGUUUUCAGUACUGUUUAUAGUUUAGUAAAUCGUAACAGACCUUUAUCUGAUAUUGAGGGAGCAAUAGAAUUACAAGAGAAAAAUGAAGACGUCAG